rnacentral:rRNA from 1 species
UACGUAGGGUGCGAGCGUUAAUCGGAAUUACUGGGCGUAAAGCGUGCGCAGGCGUUGAUGUAAGACAGGUGUGAAAUCCCCGGGCUUAACCUGGGAACUGCAUUUGUGACUGCAUCGCUGGAGUGCGGCAGAGGGGGAUGGAAUUCCGCGUGUAGCAGUGAAAUGCGUAGAUAUCAGGAGGAAUACCGAUGGCGAAGGCAGGUCUCUGGGCUGACACUGACGCUCAUGCACGAAAGCGUGGGGAGCAAACAGG